rnacentral:misc_RNA from 1 species
AACUUCAAGAUUACAAGGCAAAAGGCCUUCCUCUUCCGCUACCAAUGACAUGAGCUUCCAACAGAAGCUAAUCUCUAAAUUGUGUAGACAAGCAAGCUUAUCUAAAUUAGUCGAAUCUUGCCAUAAGUACAUCAGUUGAUCGCAACAAGAAAUCUUGAGAUCUUCAAGUGCCACCAAGGCUUGUGUAACCACUUCAUCUAACUUUGCAAGCCCAGAAAUACUCUUCAUUUUUAAGGUUGUGAGGGAGGUUAGAUCAGGCACGCUUCUGAGAAUCAUCUCUUGGCAAUUUUUAAUAUUUAGUUUCUUGAGUGAAGGAAGACAGCGAGGCAGUUUCCCAUCCAACUUAGGACAAUUAAUUAUUGU